AGCUCCAAUAGCGUAUAUUAAAGUUGUUGCGGUUAAAAAGCUCGUAGUUGGAUUUCUGUUGAAAGCGGCGGGUCUGCACAAUGUGCGUGUAUCUAGUCCGGUUUCGGCAUCCUCUUGGGGAACGCUUCUGUGCUUCAUUGCAUGGGGCGGAAUUCAAGACUUUUACUUUGAGGAAAUUAGAGUGUUCACGGCAAGCUUUCGCUUUGAAUACAUUAGCAUGGAAUAAUAAUAUAGGGCGUAAGUUCUAUUUUGUUGGUUUCUAGGACAUACGCAAUGGUUAAUAGGGACAAUUGGGGGCAUUCGUAUUAACGCGUCAGAGGUGGAAUUCUUAGAUUGCGUUACGACGAACUACUGCGAAAGCAUUUGCCAAGGAUGUUUUCA
rnacentral:rRNA from 1 species